rnacentral:rRNA from 1 species
AGCGAACGCUGGCGGCAGGCUUAACACAUGCAAGUCGAGCGGGCAUCCUUGUGGUGUCAGCGGCAGACGGGUGAGUAACGCGUGGGAACGUGCCCUUCGGUUCGGAAUAACUCAGGGAAACUUGAGCUAAUACCGGAUACGUGCGAGAGCAGAAAGGUUUAUCUGCCGAAGGAUCGGCCCGCGUCUGAUUAGCUAGUUGGUGAGGUUACGGCUCACCAAGGCGACGAUCAGUAGCUGGUCUGAGAGGAUGAUCAGCCACACUGGGACUGAGACACGGCCCAGACUCCUACGGGAGGCAGCAGUGGGGAAUAUUGGACAAUGGGGGCAACCCUGAUCAGCCAUGCCGCGUGAGUGAUGACGGCCUUAGGGUUGUAAAGCUCUUUUCUCCGGGACGAUAAUGACGGUACCGGAGGAAUAAGCCCCGGCUAACUUCGUG